CCCCCGCCGCCUUUCACCUCCCAGGCAAAGGCGCCGCGCCCCAAGCCUCCCGCUGAGUCCCGGCGACCGUCUCACCCGCCUUCGGCGCUCCUCUCGGCGCCCGAAAACCUCAAAAUCCCCCCCGGCACCCCUCAACCCCCGCUGCGGCCUACAGCGCCCCGGCCGAUCCCCGGCCUUGCUUAGCGCGCCUCCCUGCCCGCCCUGCACGCUUCGCACCGCCUGCCGCGCUACGCGAGCCCGGGGAUGCAGGCCGGGCCUGGCUUACCUUUCCAGCUGCUUUUUUUUUCUCCUCUCUCUCCUCUCCCCCCUUUCCCUCUGUUGGGCUGACAGAUCAGAGUUUCCUCCCCAGCAGAGGGACUGGGCUCGGGCUCUGUGCUGAGGAGCUGCUGCCCCCCUGGCUCUCAGAAGAUCCUGCUUUUUGUGAGGAGGAAGCUUUGGGGGCUUUUUAUUAUUUUAAAACUACAAAGUGCUCCGAGGGAAGGUGAUUAUUAAGGGGAAUCCCUGAAUAUAUUCUCCAGCAAAGAAGGCAGGGCUGCUGGGGCUGCUCAAGAAGAGAGCCAGCAGCUUCCUACAGCACCACUACAGGCACCGAGAGGACAUAACAUCAGAGAGCGGCUCCUCUGCCCUCCAAAACAACAACUUUCCUACCAUCUUGGAGGUAGUAAAGAGGGAGAGGGGGAAAAAAAGUACAGAAGGUUUUUAUAAAGUGUCAGUUUGGGAGAGGAAGCCAAAUGGCCAAAAGAAAAAUUUGUUUGGUCAUUUAUAUGACUUUUUCUUUUAAAUAAAAAUAAAAUACAAAGGCAUGCGGCUGAAGAAAUAAUUUUCUUUAUAACCUGUUAAGAUCAGCUUUCUGGAAAAAAAAUUAAAAGGAGUUGCUGUUUUGAUUUGGGAGCCUUUGUUUCUGAUAAUUACACAGAACUGUUCUCGCUCGUGCUGUCUGUGCAGGCAGGAGGGUACAUGAAGCAGUCACAGGAUGGUUACUGGACCAUAACUGGCGAUGCAACUACUCAGAAAUGCUGCCAGCUCGCCACCAGGUGGUACUAGGGCUGCAUGUGGGGAAUUCCACCUCCUCCGGCCCUGGUCUCAGCUUUCCAAGCCCAGCCCCAACAGCGUCUGGCUCAGCGCAGCCCCCAGCAGCGCGUGUGGAGGUCAGCUGCUGCGGGCAAGGGAGUACCUAGAGCUAAUAAGCCCCUUCUUUAACAGUCAAGAACACUAUGAGCAAUGUUCGUCUCCCAUCAUCCCAGGUGUUCAUUGCCACCUGUUCAUAAUGCUCUGCUUUCAUCUGAGGUUACAGCUUCAGAAACAGCAAGGAGUAGCACUGUUAACUUUUUUUUUUUUUAAAUAAACACAACCAAGUUGCA